GCUGGGCGUGGUGGUGCACGCCUGUAAUCCCAGCACUUGGGAGGCUGAGGCGGGAGGAUCGCUGUGAGUUGAGGACCAGCCUGGGCUACACAGUGAGUUCCAGGUCAGUCUCAACUACAUAGUGAGACCCUGUCUCAA
rnacentral:SRP_RNA from 1 species